rnacentral:lncRNA from 1 species
AUGAACCGACCACCAAGGAACUCAGCAGACAGGAGGCAAUGCUGGAUGGCAUCAGCCAGCCAGCGAGAUUGUUUUGAGGGCUCUCGCCUUGUGGUGUUCCGGGGGACCAGGGGAGGUCGUUCCGGAGCGAGCGGGCGAGAGGAGGAGCCCCAGAGGUCCCCACCUACCCAGCUGCCAACGGUUCCAGAGGGUCGUAUCCUGGCCGUGGCCACUCUGGGGGAUCAGGCACAUCCCUCACCGAGUCCUGAGGUGCCUCCCACACCCGUCGGUCUCCCCGGGAAGCGAGGGAGAUGGUUAUCGUGGGAGUCUGCCUCGGAAUCGUCGGAGUCAGCCCUGCCAGAGACCGAACUCCCCCAACCCGCCUCUGACCCAGCUGUGGUCUCUGCACCGCGCCCAAGGAGGAAGAGGAGGAAGAGGGGGCCUGCCAGUCCUGUGACCCCGUUUCCUCCCGUGCCAGCAGCGGAGAGCGCUGGCGUGCCCGUGCCAGCAGCGGAGAGCACUGGCGUGCCUGUACCAGCAGCGGUGGGCGUGCCCGUGCCAUCAGCGGAGAGCGCUGGCGUGCCCGAGCCAGCAGCGGAGAGCGCUGGCGUGCCCGAGCCAGCAGCAGUGAGCGUGCCCGAGCCAGCAGCAGUGAGCGUGUCCGAGUCAGCAGCGGUGAGCGCUAGCGUGCCCGAGCCGGGAAAGAAAGCUGUAUGCAAGUCGGCAGUCGUGAGAGCGGAGGAGAGAGCCGCGGCCGACUCUGCAGCAAAGACUCUUGUACAGUCGGUUUCAUCUCAUGAGGAGAUGCCAAUUGUCCUAGCUGCUAAAGCAUUUUCUGAUUAUUUGUCCCGUCUUGUCCAAAUUUUAGAAAUCCCCGUCAGUCCUGUCUUGUCCCCUGACCCUGUCCCCAGAAGUCCCAAAUGUCCAGCCGUUGUCUCCCCGUGUCCUGUUGAUGUGGCCCCGUGUCCUGUUGAUGUGGCCCCGUGUCCAGUAGAUGUUGUCCCCCCGUGUCCAGUAGAUGUUGCCCCGUGUCCAGUAGAUGUUGUUCCCCCGUGUCCAGCUGUCGUCUCCCCGCGUCCUGUAAGUCUUGCCCCGCGUCCCGUAAGUGUUGCCCCGCGUCCCUUGUCUGCUCCUGUCAUGUCCCCUGUCAGUUGUCCUGAGACCCCUCACCACCCAGACCUGCCCGUACCCCCCGUCGUCAGCCUUCGUCCUGUCCUCCUAAGAUUCCUACCCCACCCCCCCGCCCUGGUCUGUCCCCCAUGA